UGCCGACGGCGUGGAUGAGGCAUGCAAGUCGAACGAAGUUUUAAGCUUGCUUAAAACUUAGUGGCGAAAGGGUUAGUAAUACAUGGAUAAUCUACCUCUUACCUGGGAAUAACAACUGGAAACGGCUGCUAAUACCGAAUGAGGUGACACAAGGCAUCUUGUGUUUAUCAAAGUAGGGGACCUUCGGGCCUCGCGGUAAGAGAGGAGUCCAUGGGAUAUCAGCUUGUUGGUGAGGUAAUGGCUCACCAAGGCUACGACGUCUAGGCGGAUUGAGAGAUUGACCGCCAACACUGGGACUGAGACACUGCCCAGACUCCUACGGGAGGCUGCAGUCGAGAAUCAUUCGCAAUGGGCGAAAGCCUGACGAUGCGACGCCGUGUGAACGAAGAAGGCCCCCGGGUUGUAAAGUUCUUUCGCCUGGGAACAAGCGAUGUGUGCUAAUAGCACGCAAAGUUGAGGGUACCAGGUAAAGAAGCACCGGCUAACUCCGUGCCAGCAGCUGCGGUAAUACGGAGGGUGCUAGCAUUAAUCGGAUUUACUGGGCGUAAAGGGCGCGUAGGCGUCUAUGCAAGUCAUGUGUGAAAUUCCGCGGCUUAACCGCGGAGCGGCACGUGAAACUACAUGGAUUGAGGAUAGAUGGGGAAAGUGGAAUUCCACGUGUAGCGGUGAAAUGCGUAGAUAUGUGGAGGAACACCGGUGGCGAAGGCGACUUUCUAGUCUAUACCUGACGCUGAGGCGCGAAAGCAAGGGGAGCAAACAGGAUUAGAUACCCUGGUAGUCCUUGCCGUAAACGAUGCAUACUUGAUGUAGAUGGGCUCAACCCUGUCUGUGUCGAAGCUAACGCGAUAAGUAUGCCGCCUGGGGAGUACGCCCGCAAGGGUGAAACCCAAAAGAAUUGACGGGGACCCGCACAAGCAGUGGAGCAUGUGGUUUAAUUCGAUGCAACGCGAAGAACCUUACCUAGGCUUGACAUGCAGAGGACGCUACUGGAAACGGUAGUUCCCUUCGGGGCCUCUGCGCAGGUGCUGCAUGGCUGUCGUCAGCUCGUGCCGUGAGGUGUUGGGUUAGGUCCCGCAACGAGCGCAACCCUUAUCGUUAGUUGCCAACACUUAGGGUGGGGACUCUAACGAGACUGCCUGGGUUAACCAGGAGGAAGGUGAGGAUGACGUCAAGUCAGCAUGGCCCUUAUGCCUAGGGCUACACACGUGCUACAAUGGCCAGCACAGAAGGCAGCGAAGCCGCGAGGUGGAGCAAAUCCUAGAAAGCUGGUCUCAGUUCGGAUAGAAGUCUGCAAUUCGACUUCUUGAAGUUGGAAUUGCUAGUAAUGGCGUGUCAGCAAUAACGCCGUGAAUACGUUCCCGGGUCUUGUACGCACCGCCCGUCACAUCAUGGAAGUUGGUUUUGCCCGAAGUCGCUGACCUAACCGCAAGGGAGGAAGCGCCGAAGGUGAGGCCGAUGACUAGGAUGCUGUCGUAACAAGGUA
rnacentral:rRNA from 1 species